GGAGCCGGAAUAAGAACCCAAGUCUUCUUACUCCCUGGCUUGUACUUUUUCCACCAUGCCAUGCUGCUUCCCUCGCCACACUAUUUCUAGAUGGGAGAUAACUUCAGGUUCAUUACAGUGGGCAGAGAGGGACAUUUCACUCCAAAUUCAGGUGCUGGUGAGUAGAAACUGUGUAGCUUAGAGAGUUAGCUGACAAUUCUCUCUAGGAGUAAAAGUGUCAGGGCACAGUCAAAAGCCCUCCCAUGACUGUCCCUGAAUUCCAGUGCUUUAGCUAGCAAAGAAAAAGGCCUGUAUGCACAAGGUAAGCUGAGCUUGGUCAGCCCCUGUCAUCCAGGGCUUUUGACCUAAUCGAGAGGGGAGAGUGGGUAUUUAUCCCCAUUUUACAGGGGAGGAAACUGGGGCCCAGAGAGGCUAAGUGGUGUGCGUGGGGGUCCCUUAGCAGGCCAGUGGCAGAGCUGGCUCUAGAACCCUCUGGGGGUCUCGUGACACCGGCCCCAUGCUCCUUCCUCUAGGCCCCUUGGGUCUGGAUGGGAAUCUGUUGCGCAAAAAUACUAACUAGACUGUGAAACACUGUCCUGCAAUAACCAAUGUCUUUCUUCUGCCUUUAGGGUAGAUCGUGGUCCGACUGUGAGCCUGUCUGGGCACAGUGUGGUGCGGAGGCAGAAGAAGCGGCUGUGUGCCCACCGGCCAGGUCAGAAUAGAAUGGAAACAAACAGGACUGGGCUGGAAUCACUCUUGUAUUACAAUGCAUCUGAGGAAAUGAGUCAGCUGGUGAGGCCCAUUUGAGACAUGGCAUCCAGAGAGCAGCGGCUGUUGUGCUCUCUGAAGUUUCACCUGUCCACUGGGGGUCCAGAAAAACAGGUAGUAAGAGAGACUUUGAGGACCACUAACCCAUUCAUACCCCAAAGCAUCCAGUCCAUUCCUGCAUUCGUCGCAGCACUCCACCUUCCAGGCCCUCAACAGCCAUCAUGCAACCGCAGAGCAUGCAACUCGGAGACAGGACGCCUGAGCUGGUGAGCGGAGGCCCUAGAGGUAUGGGAGCAGUGCCAGCAUUACCUGUGUUUCUAG